rnacentral:rRNA from 1 species
AGAGUUUGAUCCUGGCUCAGGACGAACGCUGGCGGCGUGCCUAAUACAUGCAAGUCGAGCGGACAGAUGGGAGCUUGCUCCCUGAUGUUAGCGGCGGACGGGUGAGUAACACGUGGGUAACCUGCCUGUAAGACUGGGAUAACUCCGGGAAACCGGGGCUAAUACCGGAUGGUUGUUUGAACCGCAUGGUUCAAACAUAAAAGGUGGCUUCGGCUACCACUUACAGAUGGACCCGCGGCGCAUUAGCUAGUUGGUGAGGUAAUGGCUCACCAAGGCAACGAUGCGUAGCCGACCUGAGAGGGUGAUCGGCCACACUGGGACUGAGACACGGCCCAGACUCCUACGGGAGGCAGCAGUAGGGAAUCUUCCGCAAUGGACGAAAGUCUGACGGAGCAACGCCGCGUGAGUGAUGAAGGUUUUCGGAUCGUAAAGCUCUGUUGUUAGGGAAGAACAAGUACCGUUCGAAUAGGGCGGUACCUUGACGGUACCUAACCAGAAAGCCACGGCUAACUACGUGCCAGCAGCCGCGGUAAUACGUAGGUGGCAAGCGUUGUCCGGAAUUAUUGGGCGUAAAGGGCUCGCAGGCGGUUUCUUAAGUCUGAUGUGAAAGCCCCCGGCUCAACCGGGGAGGGUCAUUGGAAACUGGGGAACUUGAGUGCAGAAGAGGAGAGUGGAAUUCCACGUGUAGCGGUGAAAUGCGUAGAGAUGUGGAGGAACACCAGUGGCGAAGGCGACUCUCUGGUCUGUAACUGACGCUGAGGAGCGAAAGCGUGGGGAGCGAACAGGAUUAGAUACCCUGGGUAGUCCACGCCGUAAACGAUGAGUGCUAAGUGUUAGGGGGUUUCCGCCCCUUAGUGCUGCAGCUAACGCAUUAAGCACUCCGCCUGGGGAGUACGGUCGCAAGACUGAAACUCAAAGGAAUUGACGG